GUUGCGAAUGAACAGCAAAUUGCUCAAAUUGAAUUUGGGGACACCUGGCCCUCAACAUGAAAUCUCUGAAUGCUCCACCAACAAAGGCUCAGGAACAAAACCAUUCUGGAGGGGAUUGUGAAAGUGCCAACAGGGGUGAGAAUCCUGUGGUUCUUGCAGACCUUGUUCACGGUGUCUGCUUUCCAGAGUCAUGCUCCUUGGAACUGGAGUGCAAAGUGGGUGGUAGCUUCCACACAAAGGCAAACACACCACUGAGACUGACAGUGAAGAAGUACCGUGAGGGAAGUAUGAAAAGGACUUUGGAAAGAGAUUUAAAAGAGCGUGCACUUGCUGGACAACAAGCAUACAGAAUGAUCGUGUGAUUGGACAGAUUGCUGUGUGAAUACAGGUAACAAUCCUGUGCUGCAUGCGGAGAUUCUUUCUUGGUGUGCCAACUAGUGUGAGAGCAGUCAGUAUCUGUGGGCAGUGCUUGGGGUGUGUCUUGUGUCACAUGUGAUUGUAUGUACCUGGUCUGAACAUGUGAAACUGCAUCUACUGGCAAUGAAGAGUUAUGCAUGCAGUUGCUUUCACCAACGGUUCACCUUGUCAACGACAUGGGUGCCUUUCUGUGUGACCCGUCUUGAAACACGGACCAAGGAGUCUAGGCAGUAUGCAAGCUUGGGGGUGACAAACUCUGAGCACAAUGAAGCUGGAGUCCCGGAAAUGGCAGGGGUGUUCAACCAAGCAACAGGACAAGGUUUGAGUCUGAGCACACUUGUUA
rnacentral:rRNA from 1 species